rnacentral:rRNA from 1 species
UUCCAACCGUGUAUACAUACCUUUGUUGCUUUGGUAGGCCGCCUUCUAGGCGUCGGCUCCGGCUGACUGCGCCUGCCAGAGGACCCAAACUCGUUUGUUUAGUGAUGUCUGAGUACUAUAUAAUAGUUAAAACUUUCAACAACGGAUCUCUUGGUUCUGGCAUCGAUGAAGAACGCAGCGAAAUGCGAUAAGUAAUGUGAAUUGCAGAAUUCAGUGAAUCAUCGAAUCUUUGAACGCACAUUGCGCCCCUUGGUAUUCCGAGGGGCAUGCCUGUUCGAGCGUCAUUACAACCACUCAAGCCUCGGCUUGGUCUUGGGGUUCGCGGUUUCGCGGCCCUUAAAAUCAGUGGCGGUGCCGUCGGGCUCUAAGCGUAGUAAUUCUCUCGCUAUAGGGUCCAGGUGGCCACCUGCCAUAACCCCCCAUUCUUUACGGUUGACCUCGGAUCAGGUAGGGAUACCCGCUGAACUUAAGCAUAUCAAUAAGCGGAGGAAAAGAAACCAACAGGGCAUUGCAUCAGUAACGGCGAGUGAAGCGGCAACAGCUCAAA